rnacentral:rRNA from 1 species
UAACGAUUUGGGCACUGUCUCAACGAGAGACUCGGUGAAAUCAUAGUACCUGUGAAGAUGCAGGUUACCCGCGACAGGACGGAAAGACCCCGUGGAGCUUUACUGUAGCCUGAUAUUGAAAUUCGGCACAGCUUGUACAGGAUAGGUAGGAGCCUUUGAAACGUGAGCGCUAGCUUACGUGGAGGCGCUGGUGGGAUACUACCCUAGCUGUGUUGGCUUUCUAACCCGCACCACUUAUCGUGGUGGGAGACAGUGUCAGGCGGGCAGUUUGACUGGGGCGGUCGCCUCCUAAAAGGUAACGGAGGCGCUCAAAGGUUCCCUCAGAAUGGUUGGAAAUCAUUCAUAGAGUGUAAAGGCAUAAGGGAGCUUGACUGCGAGACCUACAAGUCGAGCAGGGUCGAAAGACGGACUUAGUGAUCCGGUGGUUCCGCAUGGAAGGGCCAUCGCUCAACGGAUAAAAGCUACCCCGGGGAUAACAGGCUUAUCUCCCCCAAGAGUUCACAUCGACGGGGAGGUUUGGCACCUCGAUGUCGGCUCAUCGCAUCCUGGGGCUGUAGUCGGUCCCAAGGGUUGGGCUGUUCGCCCAUUAAAGCGGUACGCGAGCUGGGUUCAGAACGUCGUGAGACAGUU